rfam:Streptomyces sp. Ncost-T10-10d genome assembly, contig: Ga0115254_1124
AGCUUGUCCGGGUCGACGGCGCGCGAGGUGAGCAGGUAAUCACGCAUCACGAUGCCGUGCCGCCCCUC